CAUGUAGGCGGUUUCUUAAGUCGGAUGUGAAAGCUCCUGGCUCAACUAGGAGAGGUCAUUCGAAACUAGGAAACUAGAGGGUGGUAGAGGAGAGUGGAAUUCCCGGUGUAGUGGUGAAAUGCGUAGAUAUCGGGAGGAACACCAGUGGCGAAAGCGGCUCUCUGGGCCACACCUGACGCUGAGAUGCGAAAGCUAGGGGAGAGAACG
rnacentral:rRNA from 1 species